AUAAAUGGUGCAUAAAUGUGGAUAUAUGACAUAUAUUGAAGCAAAAAUUCAGUGAAUCUUGUCUUUUCUUCUCCACCUAGUAGUCAUCAUACACCACCACAGAUACCCACAACAAUCACCAAUUGUUCCACCAGCCAUAACCUAUUUCCUCAUCUUCUCAUUUUUAUUGAGUUCCACCAUUAACAGUGAGCUCUAAGCUCUGACUAAAUUGAAAUCCAACAAACAACACAGUCAACAACAAACAGUUUUCAACAAUAGAGAAAACAACAACAAAUCAAAAAUGAGUUCCAUCUCCGUCGAGAUACUAACUGUUGCUGAGCUCGGACAAACUUUUUUGGUAAAUCGCAAUACCAAAAUGCUCAGGGAAAAAGCUACAACUCACCAGCUCAAAAGCCCCAACUAAAUUGGAGCAUAUUUUAUAGAAUUUAAGAAUUAGAGUUCCUAAUAGUAAAAAAAAUCAAAAUUCAGGUGACGGAGCUCCAGCCAACUAAAUGCAAAACUCAGUCUCAACUUACUCAAGAUGGAGAUGGUAAUAUUUUCCCUCAAAUAGACCUUAACACCUCCAAAUAAUCAACCAUUUAGACACUUUAGUAAUCUAUAUUAAAGUUUAAAUUGAGGCCAAAUGCACAUAUAAACAAUAAAUAAUCAACAAAGAUGAAGGAAUAUAUCUACGUUGAAGCUCAUCGGAUGAAUUUAUAGAGAUUUUGAGGAAAAAAUAAAAUAGUGACAAAAACUGAAAGAGGAAAGCUUAGAGAGA
rnacentral:lncRNA from 1 species